GUAGUCAGAUUCACAUCAAUCCACAUGUGUUGGGAUGGAUUUGGAGUGGAACUUGAACUAAAUUCCACCACCCCAACCCACUCCAACACAUGUGGAUUGAGGUGAAUUCGACA
rfam:Sorghum bicolor cultivar BTx623 chromosome 1, whole genome shotgun sequence.